rnacentral:rRNA from 1 species
GAUGAACGCUAGCUACAGGCUUAACACAUGCAAGUCGCAGGGUAACAUGAGGAAAGCUUGCUUUCCUUGAUGACGACUGGCGCACGGGUGAGUAACGCGUAUCCAACCUUCCCAUAACUACGGGAUAACCCGUUGAAAGACGGCCUAAUACCGUAUGAUAUCGUUUGCUGACAUCAAAUAACGAUUAAAGGUUUAGCGGUUAUGGAUGGGGAUGCGUCUGAUUAGCUUGUUGGCGGGGUAACGGCCCACCAAGGCGACGAUCAGUAGGGGUUCUGAGAGGAAGGUCCCCCACAUUGGAACUGAGACACGGUCCAAACUCCUACGGGAGGCAGCAGUGAGGAAUAUUGGUCAAUGGGCGAGAGCCUGAACCAGCCAAGUAGCGUGCAGGAUGACGGCCCUAUGGGUUGUAAACUGCUUUUAUGUGGGGAUAAAGUGCGUGACGUGUCAUGCAUUGCAGGUACCACAUGAAUAAGGACCGGCUAAUUCCGU